UACGUAGGGACCAAGCGUUGUUCGGAUUUACUGGGCGUAAAGGGCGCGUAGGCGGCUUGACAAGUCACUUGUGAAAUCUCCGGGCUUAACUCGGAACGGCCAAGUGAAACUGUCAUGCUAGAGUGCAGAAGGGGCAAUCGGAAUUCUUGGUGUAGCGGUGAAAUGCGUAGAUAUCAAGAGGAACACCUGAGGUGAAGACGGGUUGCUGGGCUGACACUGACGUGAGGCGCGAAGCCAGGGGAGCAACGGG
rnacentral:rRNA from 1 species